rnacentral:tRNA from 1 species
CAAAUUAGAGCUUGAAUAGUAAAGCGUUUUAUUUACAUUAAAAAGUUGUUGUGCAAAUCAAUAUAAUUUGA